UACGGAGGGUGCGAGCGUUGUCCGGAAUCACUGGGCGUAAAGGGCGCGUAGGCGGUCUGCUAAGCGUGCGGUGAAAGCCUGGGGCUCAACCCCAGGUCUGCCGUGCGAACUGGUGGACUAGAGCACUGUAGAGGCAGGUGGAAUUCCGGGUGUAGCGGUGAAAUGCGCAGAUAUCAGGAGGAACACCGGAUGGCGAAGGCAGGUCUCUGGGCAUUAACUGACGCUGAGGAGCGAAAGCAUGGGGGAGCGAACAGG
rnacentral:rRNA from 1 species